UAGGGAAUCUUCGGCAAUGGGGGGAACCCUGACCGAGCAACGCCGCGUGAGUGAAGAAGGUUUUCGGAUCGUAAAGCUCUGUUGUUAAGGAAGAACGAGUGUGAGAAUGGAAAGUUCAUGCUGUGACGGUACUUAACCAGAAAGGGACGGCUAACUACGUGCCAGCAGCCGCGGUAAUACGUAGGUCCCGAGCGUUGUCCGGAUUUAUUGGGCGUAAAGCGAGCGCAGGCGGUUAGAAAAGUCUGAAGUGAAAGGCAGUGGCUCAACCAUUGUAGGCUUUGGAAACUGUUUAACUUGAGUGCAGAAGGGGAGAGUGGAAUUCCAUGGGUAGCGGUGAAAUGCGUAGAUAUAUGGAGGAACACCGGUGGCGAAAGCGGCUCUCUGGUCUGUAACUGACGCUGAGGCUCGAAAGCGGGGGGAGCGAACAGG
rnacentral:rRNA from 1 species